ensembl:snRNA U6 U6 spliceosomal RNA
GUGCUUACUUCAGCAGCACAUAUGCUAAAAUUGGAAUAAUAAACAGAUUAGUGUGGCUCAUGUUCAAGGUUGACAUACAAAUUCAUGAAGCAGUCUUUGAUAUG